CUGAAAUUAUGAUUGUUUAGUUAAAUCAGCAUGUACUUGUGGUGUAUUUGCCUUCUUUAAAGCACUUUCCACAGGUGACGCCGACUGACCAUCUAAAGGCGCCACCAUUUCAGCAACAUAAUAAUGCAAAACUGAUGGGCUACCCUGAUUUUUGUAUUGUAUUAUGUUAGAUUGCAGUUUCAUUGACCUGUUCGGUAAGAUCUUGUGGGCCGUGGAAGCUUUUGUCAUUGGCUGCGUGGGCCAUGAAUUAGAAAAGAUUGGCAAUCUCUGUUUCACAUGCGAAAGAUUUAGAACAUAACAUUAUAAUGUUAAAAGCUGCUUUUGCACACCAUCUGGUCUUAAGCAGGAUAAACUGAACAUGCAUUUUGUAAAUAGCAUGAUGUGACAUGGAAGACUACCUUUUUUUAGCUUCACGUUCUCAAUGUUGUUACUGUAUUAUGCUAGUUAUGAUCAUUUAUGUUACGUUCAUAUCAAAUUUUUGUUCACAUUUCUCUCAACGUCUAAAUGAACGGUCUGUUUCAGGUUGUCUGGGUGAGAGUGUCAGUGUGUCCUGCAGUCAUCAGACUAUCUGUGCUCUGCAGGAAUCAGCAGUUAACCUGAUCUGUUCUUACCCAAACAUCGCCAUCAGAACUGUGUUCUGGUUCAGCUUUAAACAGAAAGCUAAAUGGAGGAAUGAGACACAUCCCGAGGAUUUAGCUUUAGACUCAGACUAUGCAGGGCGAGUGAGCGCUGAGAGCACAGACUCCAAAUCAACUCUUACAAUCAAAGACCUGAGAGUCAGAGACUCAGGAGACUAUCACCUCAUGAUCAUCACAGAACAAGGAGAGAAACAUCUCAGCAUCUCAACUGCAGUCAGUCUAACAGUUACAGACCUGCAGGUGAAGAAACAAACAAACAGUCUGACCUGCAGCACUUCCUGCGCCCUCCCUGCGCCUGCCCGCCAGCGUUAUUUCUGGUACAAGAAUGGACAAUUUACUGGGAAAUACACAGACUACCAUGAUCCCUUUCCUUUAUCCAGUGAUGGUGAUGAUAAAGGCAGUUACUCCUGCUCUGUUUAUGGUUAUAACAGCAUACGCUCCUCUCCACUGUGUGUGUCUGAUGGGAACUGCUGGAAUGUGACCUACACAGAUAGAAGAGUGUGUGUUUUGGAGGGUUCAUCAGUGGACUUUCCCUGCACUUACACUUGUCCCAGUAAUUAUCAUUUAAAUAAUAUAUUUUGGCACUACGACAGGUCUAAGAAGGAAGAAAUGGACCUGCGCGGGGAACAGCAGUUUGCAGGUCGAGUGGAGUUUAUUGGAGCUGCAGGGAGAAACUGCACUCUGAGAAUAAACAAUCUGAGAGAGAGAGACUCUGGAGAUUAUUACUUUAGAAUUAUCACCAACAUUGAGACAGGGAAAUUCAGCGGUAGACCUGGAAUCAUUGUAAAUGUUACAGCUCUGCAGGUAAGAGUGAUUUCCAGCACAGUGUUAGAUGACCAGACAGUAACACUAAUGUGUAGCAGCACCUGCACUCUGCCUAACAACCCCACAUACAUGUGGUACAAGAACGGACAGCCUGUAACUAACAAACACACCAGAGACAACAAGCUGUACCUGAAAUGCAGUGAAGACACAGGCAGCUACUCCUGUGCUGUGAGAGGACACGAGGAGCUCCGCUCUCCUGAUCAAACACUCAGUGACUGUCUUGGAGGUCCAGAGAUGUCAAAGAAUGCGAUGGUGGGAGCAACAGUGGGAGCGUCACUCUUUCUGGUUCUAAUACUCAUCAUAGCAGCUCUAUGGAUGUGGAGGAGAAAGUCCAGGCCAGCUAAAGACCACGGAGGCCCUCGGCAAAGUAGUCAGGAUAUUCUUCACUAUUCUAGCAUUCAUUUUUCACACUCCUGCACUGAGGAGUCCGAGUCCUCUAGAAGUCCUCGAGACAACACAGAGCUUGUCCAAUAUGCCGCUGUCAAAUUCAAGAGAUAAACCGGUGCAACACUGAAAAUAUCUGCCAUUAUCGCAAGGCUGAGGCUAAACUGCUGGACUUCUGGAGAUCUUCAACUUCAUAAUCACAUUAUUAAGGUUCAAGUUUGUCAAAUACACCUACCAUAUAGCUGCACUAUACGUGGUAGGUAUCCAAUUUUUUUUCUACACUAAGUAAACCAUUUUUCAUCAUUAUAGCAUGGCUAAUUUACACUAAGUCUGUGAGAUGUGCAAUGUAAUAUCAGCACCCAGCUAACAGCAAGUUAAUCCACUUACCCACACUGGGUUUAACACUAUUUUUGACAGAUUACCAUGUAAGACAUUAAAUUAAAAUGUAUCUUACUCUGUAUGUUAGUUUUUCAGUGACUCAUUUAGUGCAUAUUUCAAUUUCAAGCAGAAUAUUAUUGGAGUAGCCUGUUAACCUGUUAGCUCUCUGCUGAGCUUGUUGUUGAACAAAAUUUCAUUCUUGUAUACCAUGGGUUUAGAAUGGUUUCAGGGCAUUUACUUCAUACAUGCACAAUUUGUGACUGCAAACAUACAUGAAUUCAAAAUCUUACAAGUGUAUUAACAGUUAUAAACAGGUUUUUCAAUUUUUACUUGAUAUUACACUUGACUCAAUUAUCCAAACCAUUUUCAUACUUACAAUAGUUUAAAACUUAUUUUUACACAGUAUAUAUUUGUACUUUUUUAUAUUAACUUUGUUUUAGCUUAUAAAUAGUGCUGUUUCUGGUUAUGUAUGUCUAGUUUCAGAUGGAAUUUUUAGAUAGAAAUACUUUAUUUUAGUGCUUAGUAGUUUUUAAAGAAAAAAUGUCAUUGGUAUCAGCUGAUACUUAAAGUUUUAAUUUCACUCUUAAUUUCUUCUUUAUGGGUGCUGUUAUCGGUGGGAAGUUCAACACCACGUCACACACUAAAUUGAUAGACUAAAGAAUCUAGUACUUAUUGUGCUUCCACCAGCUUUGAUUCUUCCUAAUUUGGCCCACAUGAACAUAACUAAAACUAUUUUAAGUGUUCAAAAUUGAAUUAAACACCACAAUUAGCAAAGAGACACAGAGAGCAUACUCAUUAAGCUACGGUGCUGAGUGGUAAUUUUUGUCGAUUUCACAAGGCUUUUGAGCAAGCCUCAAUUGAACAAUGCAAAUGCGAGUAAAACUGUUCUUAUUUAUAGCCACUUCACUCUCAGGUUCAAUUUUACCCUCCUUUUUGAUUGGUUGCCUUGUGAAAAGUGACACAUGACAAGUGGAGCUUUUCUGCUGGUGCUGGACAUUUUUCAAUUGCAAGAAUCUGCAGCAAAAAAAUAAAAACACAAUUGUGAAGAAACUUUGACCUACCGCAGAAUAUAAUGCUGCUUUGGGCGGAACACGCUCCAUCAUCUGAACACAGUCUAAAGAAGUAGACAGAUUUUCAAGAGGACUGAAAAUUUUUGC